UACGUAGGGGGCAAGCGUUGUCCGGAAUCAUUGGGCGUAAAGAGCGUGUAGGCGGCCCGGUAAGUCCGCUGUAAAAGUCCAGGGCUCAACCCUGGGAUGCCGGUGGAUACUGUCGGGCUCGAGUCCGGAAGAGGAGUGUGGAAUUCCUGGUGUAGCGGUGAAAUGCGCAGAUAUCGGGAGGAACACCAAUGGCGAAGGCAGCACUCUGGGACGUGACUGACGCUGAGACGCGAAAGCGUGGGGAGCAAACAGG
rnacentral:rRNA from 1 species